rnacentral:snoRNA from 1 species
CCCAGGGCUACAGUCACAUCCUGACACAGUUCUUAUCCUGAUAUGUUGGAGUUCGAGGAAAGAACCUGCUGAUUUUUUAAAAAUAUUUUAUUUAUUUAUUAGAGAGAGAG